GAUAGCUCAGUCAGUAGAGCAGGAGGCUUUUAAUAUUGGGGUCGUGGGUUUGAGCCCCACGUCAGGCA